UACAGAGGUCUCAAGCGUUGUUCGGAUUCAUUGGGCGUAAAGGGUGCGUAGGCGGGUUAUUAAGUCAGUGGUGAAAGCCUACAGCUCAACUGUAGAAUUGCCAUUGAUACUGAUGAUCUUGAGUAUGAUUGAGGUGGGCGGAAUGUGUCAUGUAGCGGUGAAAUGCUUAGAUAUGACACAGAACACCGAUUGCGAAGGCAGCUCACUAAGUCAUAACUGACGCUGAUGCACGAAAGCGUGGGGAGCAAACAGG
rnacentral:rRNA from 1 species